ACAAUACAGGGUUCGCUGCGGUCCUCCAGUGCGUGGAACUUCCGCUCUUCCUACCAAGAGGCUCCUCCGCGUCCUGUGACUCCGGGUUUCCGCUUUCCUCUCCCGCCGGACCGUAGCCCGCCCCCAACCGCACCAGGGGCAAGAGACCAGGAAACCAACCAGUGUACAUUCUGCAAAGAGGAGCAUCAGUGAAGAGGGAGAUGUUCCUGAUACUUUCAAGGAAAGCCAUUCAUGGCCAGCAAGACCCUGACCUAUCCUGGCAGAUGGCACAACUGGUAAAGGAAGACUGAAAGAGCCAAGAGGCUUCCCAUAAGCUCCUGAAAGUGACCCCUGAGAAUACAGCAAUUCCAUGUUAAGAAGAUGGCAACACAAGAAUAUCAACCCAUCCCUGCAACUGAGACCAGUGUCUACCUCCUUCAGAACAGUCAGCAUGAGACUUUUGAUUCCUGACUGGGAAGGGUCAUUGCCCCUUGCCAGCCUGAAGUAGCCAAAGAAGAGAUCUUCACCUCCUACCAAUCCUUAAGAUUAAGGGAUCAAAGUAGGGGGUGAGGGAAGAUAGGAAUUUAGGAUAAAGAGAGAGAAAUACUGAAUCUUAAAGGAAACACCCACAAGCCAUUGAGAAGUAGAAAGUAUGGUUGUAAAUCGUGGCCUGAAAACUGGCCUGAAAUGAUGCAACUCCACCCUGGAUGCACCUGGAUGCACCUUUAGUCCAGUCCUUGAAACAGCCCUUCUAUAAAGAUUGGACCCCCAGCCCAAGUCAGGCUGCUUCUCACUCUUGAGACAGCCUGCCUUCUCCCUUGAAUAUGUUAUUCUUCCUAAAUAAACCUCUGUCUAUGCCAGAACACACAAACAAGCAAACAAACACCAACCAUUGAAUUUAGGGCUCACCCUACUCCAAUAUGACCUCAUCUUAACUUUGUUAUGUCUAUAAGAUCUUUCUGUUAUGAACCACAUGUGGCUGCUUCAGUCAACAACAGACACAUGUACGGGGUGGUCCAGUAACACUACAAAAGAGUUGAAAAGGCUCUGCACCUCCUAAUGGAGCUUUCACAGCAUCCGAGUGCACUGCUUAUUCAGGUUUGUGGUGAUGCUGGCAUAAACAGACCUCUGUGCUGUCAGUCAUUUAAAGUAUGGCACAUAUAAUUACAUACAGUAUGUAAUACUUUAUAAUAAUAAUAAAUGACUGCUAUUGUUUAAUGUGUUUACUAUACUUUUAAUAGUUCUUUUAGAGUAUACUCCUUCUACUUAUAAAAAAGUUUAAAGCAAAACUGUUAUGAUGACAUAAGCUUCAUGUAUCUCAUAUUUAUGAAAUCUCUUUUGAGUGCAUCAUUUUCCCUCAUGUUUCAUUUAAUCUCAUGUUAUUUUGCUCAGAAUAGUCCUAGGAGAAAUGUAUACAUACCAUAUAGACUAGGCAUAUGGAUAACUAUUCUAUCUAGGUUUGUGUAAAGUACAUUCUAUGAUGCUGGGACAAUAAAGAAAUUACCCAACAAUGCAUUUUUCAAAACCUAUCCCUAUUGUUA